UACGAGAGGCCCAAACGUUAUUCGGAAUCACUGGGCUUAAAGAGUUCGUAGGCGGCGCGGAAAGUGGGGUGUGAAAGCCCUCGGCUCAACCGGGGAAUUGCGCUCCAAACUGUCGCGCUUGAGGAAGCUAGAGGUAAGCAGAACUGAUGGUGGAGCGGUGAAAUGCGUUGAUAUCAUCAGGAAUACCGGAGGCGAAGGCGGCUUACUGGGACUUUUCUGACGCUGAGGAACGAAAGCUAGGGGAGCAAACGGG
rnacentral:rRNA from 1 species